GAUGAACGCUAGCGGCAGGCUUAAUACAUGCAAGUCGUGGGGCAGCAGGACUGUAGCAAUCCAGUUGCUGGCGACCGGCACACGGGUGCGGCACACGUACGCAACUUACCCUGAACUGGGGGAUAGCCCGGGGAAACCCGGAUUAAUACCCCGUAAUAUAAUGGAGUGGCAUCACUUUAUUAUUAAAGCUCCGGCGGUUCGGGAUGGGCGUGCGGCUGAUUAGGUAGCUGGUUGAGGUAACGGCUCACCAAGCCUACGAUCAGUAACUGGUGUGAGAGCACGACCAAUCACACGGGCGAUGAGGCACAGACCCGACUCCUACGGAAGGCAACAGUAAGGAAUGUUAGGCGCGGGAGGCUACUCUGACCCAGCCAUGCCGGGUAGAGGAGGCAGGCGCUCUGGGUAGUAAGCUUCUUUUGUAGAGGACAAAACCUGUGUAUUCUUACGCAGUUGACGGUACCCAAGGAAUAAGCACCGGCUAACUCCGUG
rnacentral:rRNA from 1 species